GCCCCACUCACACUAUCAUUUUCCAUGUUCAAUGGACCAUGAAAUUGGAUAAAAAAUAUAAUUAGGCAUUAAAAUUAGAAAGAUAAUAUUCAUAGGGAACAUGUGUACUAAGUUUCAAGUUGAUUGGACUUCAACUUCAUCAAAAACUACCUUGACCAAAAACUUUAACCUGAAACAUGCACUUUCAUUUUCUAUGUUCAGUGGACCGUGAAAUUGGGGUCAAAAGUUUAAUUUGGCUUUAAAAUUAGAAAGAUCAUAUCAUAAGGAACAUGUGUACUAAGUUUCAAGUUGAUUGGACUUCAACUUCAUCAAAAACUACCUUGACCAAAAACUUUAACCUGAAAAACUUUAACCUGAAACAUGCACUAAAAAGUCUUUCAUUUUCUAUGUUCAGUGGACCGUGAAAUUGGGGUCAAAAGUUUAAUUUGGCUUUAAAAUUAGAAAGAUCAUAUCAUAAGGAACAUGUGUACUAAGUUUCAAGUUGAUUGGACUUCAACUUCAUCAAAAACUACCUUGACCAAAAACUUUAACCUGAAGCGGGACAGACGGACGAACGAACGGACGAACGAACGAACGAACAGACGAAC
rnacentral:lncRNA from 1 species